rnacentral:rRNA from 1 species
UACGUAGGUGGCGAGCGUUGUCCGGAAUUACUGGGUGUAAAGCGCGCGUAGGCGGUAGGCCAAGUCUGCUGUGAAAUCGCCCGGCUCAACUGGGCGCGGUCGGUGGAAACUGGUCAACUGGAGGACGGUAGAGGCGAGUGGAAUUCCCGGUGUAGUGGUGAAAUGCGUAGAGAUCGGGAGGAACACCCGUGGCGAAGGCGGCCUGCUGGGCCGGACCUGACGCUGAGGCGCGAAGGCGUGGGGAGCGAACGGG